rnacentral:piRNA from 1 species
UCACCUUGAUUGGGCCCAGGGCGUCUUC